AAUUGUUAUACAACAUAAAUUAAGAUUAGUCAUUUAACAAGCAAAGUAUUAAAGAGUGAAUAAGAUAAGAAAUAUAAAACAUGUUAGUAUCAAACAUUAAAGUCCAUAUUAAGUUUACACUAUACUUAUUUUUACACCAUUAGUGUAACCUUUUCACCUUGACAUAAUAAACUUAGCUAUACAUAAUGAAAGAAAGAAAAAUAAAUAAACAAAAUACGAACAUAAAUAAGAUAAAAGUUAAGUAAGAAAAUUUAAGGAAAUGAAAGGCAUAAACUUGAUAUUAAUGAAAGCAAAGCAUAAACAUUACAAAAAAUACAAAGAGAGAAAGGAAGAGCAUGAUCUUGAUCUGAACACCAAGAUGCCUAAAUGCAUGGCAAAUGCCUCCUUUUAUAGGCCCAUGAUCUUGAUUUGGAAACCAAGAUGCCUAAAUGCAUGGGAAAUGUCUCCUUUUAUAGGCCAAAAUUGAGAACUAUUGAUUUGAUGACUAAUUGAUGAGUGGGUGACCAACUCUUGACUUGGUGACAAUCCUUAUCUUCUCUUGUUUGCCCAAAAUAUCAUUGAUAACAUCAAAAUUAGAGCCCUUGAAAACAUGAAAGUUGUAGGAAAUUGUCUCAGCUUUCUUGUGUAAAACAUUCAGCUCAUUUGGAAUUCUAGAACUAUAGAUAUGGGCCAAAACUCGGGGCAAGAGCCCGGACAUCGAGGCAAGCGCCAAGCCCUGAUGAGUAGGAGGGCGCGGCCGUCACAUAUGGGCCAAAACUCGGGGCAAGAGCCCGGACAUCGAGGCAAGCGCCAAGCCCUGAUGAGUAGGAGGGUGCGGCCGUCACCGCAAAACCCGGGGCGCGAGCCCAAACGGAGCAGCCGUCGGUGCAGAUCUUGGUGGUAGUAACAAAUAUUCAAAUGAGAACUUUGAAGGUCGAAGAGGUGAAAGGUUCCAUAUGAACGGCUCUUGCACAUGGGUUAGUCAAUCCUAAAAGACAGGGGAAGCCCGUCAGACAGUGCGUUCGCGCGUGAGCUUCGUAAGGGAAUCGGGUUAAAAUUCCUGAACCGGGACGUGGCGGCUGACAACAAUGUUAGGGAGUCCAGAAAUGUCAGCGGGGGUCUCAGGAAGAGUUAUCUUUUCUAUUUAACAGCCCGCCCACACCGCGUGGUGUCCGGUGGGCCCCCGGCGGCCCUUGAAAAUCUAGAGGACCGAGUGCCUCCCACGCUUGGUGGUACUCAUAACCACAUCAUGUCUCCAAGGUGAACAACCUCUGGUCAAUGGAACAAUGUAGGCAAGGGAAGUCUGCAAAAUGGAUCUGUAACCUCGGGAAAAGGAUUGGCUCUGAAUGCUAGGCUCGGGGGUCCCAGUCCCGAACCCGUCGACUAUCGGUGGACUGCUCGAGCUGCUCAAGCGGCGAGAGCGUGUCGUCGCAUUCCGGCAAGGGGACGGACUAGGAACGGCCCCUCCAGGGGCCUUCCCCGGGCUUCGAACAGUCGACUCAAAACUGGUCGGACAAAGGGAAUUUGACUGUUUAAUUAAAACAAAGCAUUGCGAUGGUCCCUGUGGAUGCUCAGGCAAUGUGAUUUCUGCCCAGUGCUUUGAAUGUCAAAGUGAAGAAAUUCAAUCAAGUGCGGGUAAACGGCAGGAGUAAUUAUGACUCUCUUAAAGUAGCCAAAUGCCUCGUUAUCUAAUUAGUGACACGCAUGAAUGGAUUAACUAGAUUCCCACUAUCCUUGUCUACUAUCCAGCGAAACCACAGCCAAAGAAACGGGUUUGGCGGAAUCAGCGG
rnacentral:rRNA from 1 species